rnacentral:rRNA from 1 species
GAGUUUGAUCCUGGCUCAGAACGAACGCUGGCGGCAGGCCUAACACAUGCAAGUCGAGCGCUUCACUUCGGUGAGGAGCGGCGAACGGGUUAGUAACGCGUGGGAACGUACCCAAAGGUAGGGAAUAGCCACUGGAAACGGUGAGUAAUGCCCUAUGUGCCCUUCGGGGAAAGAUUUAUCGCCUUUGGAUCGGCCCGCGUUAGAUUAGGUAGUUGGUGGGGUAAUGGCCUACCAAGCCUACGAUCUAUAGCUGGUUUGAGAGGAUGAUCAGCAACACUGUGACUGAGACACGGCCCAGACUCCUACGGGAGGCAGCAGUGGGGAAUCUUAGACAAUGGGCGAAAGCCUGAUCUAGCCAUGCCGCGUGAGUGAUGAAGGCCUUAGGGUCGUAAAGCUCUUUCGCCAGGGAUGAUAAUGACAGUACCUGGUAAAGAAACCCCGGCUAACUCCGUGCCAGCCGCCGCCGU